rnacentral:lncRNA from 1 species
CAAGUUAGAAACAGUAAGAGAUUAAGAAUAACUAAUAACAAAGUAGAGCAACUAUAACAACACUAAUAAAAGCUAUGCAUCUGUGGUCUCUCAAAAUAUUUUACUGUACUGUACUCACCUGUCUUCAUCUUGUGAUGACAUAACAUGCCUUUGUGAUGCCACAACCUGUGAUGAGAGGAAGUGAGGUAAAUGAUGUAGGCACCGCUAGCACUGUGACACUGUGUCAACCAGAUAACAAAGACAGCCAGUAAGGGACUAACAGGCAGGAGCAUAUACAGCAUGGAUAUGUCAGACAGAGGGAUGGACUGGGCAGGAUGAAGCAGGAUGGUGCAAGAUAUUAUCAUGCUACUCAGAAAGAAAGAUUUGGACUUGGGCAGCUGUAGUAUUAUCCUGUGAGGACCACAGAUGUUACCUGUAAUAGUAAAAUAAUGAAGGUGAUCAUAGAAGACACUGCAGGUUAGAACUCUGCUGUGUGUGCUUUACACUGGCUCCCAGAGUCUCUGCAGCAGAAUCAAGCUCUGGAACUCAGCUGGGUAACACCUAUGUGCCCUUCCUAGUCCUUUCACCACUUCCUACCAGUAUUUUCCUUCAACCUCCAAAUAAAUUCCUUGCACUGAGAUCCUUGUCUCAGGGUCUGUGUCUGGGAAAAUCCACACCCAGUUAGCAUUCCUUUCAGACUGAGAAGUGGACAAGGAUGUCUGCUAUUCUAUCACUGUUUACUACUGUACUGCAGGUCUGUAUGAACUAAGGCAAGAAAAGGAACAAAGGUUGAGAGGCUUAGAGAAGAGCAAGCUUCCUUUUGAUAUGACUUCUCUAGAAAACCAGAAAGAUGCAUUACUCAGAUUAAUUAGAGUUUUUCAAGAUGGCUGACUGAAAAAUUAAUGUACAGAAAAGCAAUUCUGGGAGAGGGGAGGGAGAGGAGAGGAAGGGAAUCUUAAAAAAAUCAGAUGUAUUAUGUGCAUGCACCACUCCCCACAAUAAAUGUAAUCAUAUACUGCA